GACGAACGCUGGCGGCGUGCUUAACACAUGCAAGUCGAACGGAAAGGCCCUUCGGGGUACUCGAGUGGCGAACGGGUGAGUAACACGUGGGUGAUCUGCCCUGCACUUUGGGAUAAGCCUGGGAAACUGGGUCUAAUACCGAAUAGGACCACGCGCUUCAUGGUGUGUGGUGGAAAGCUUUUGCGGUGUGGGAUGGGCCCGCGGCCUAUCAGCUUGUUGGUGGGGUAAUGGCCUACCAAGGCGACGACGGGUAGCCGGCCUGAGAGGGUGACCGGCCACACUGGGACUGAGAUACGGCCCAGACUCCUACGGGAGGCAGCAGUGGGGAACAUUGCACAAUGGGCGCAAGCCUGAUGCAGCGACGCCGCGUGAGGGAUGACGGCCUUCGGGUUGUAAACCUCUUUCAAUAGGGACGAAGCGCAAGUGACGGUACCUAUAGAAGAAGCACCGGCCAACUACGUGCCAGCAGCCGCGGUAAUACGUAGGGUGCGAGCGUUGUCCGGAAUUACUGGGCGUAAAGAGCUCGUAGGUGGUUUGUCGCGUUGUUCGUGAAAACUCACAGCUUAACUGUGGGCGUGCGGGCGAUACGGGCAGACUAGAGUACUGCAGGGGAGACUGGAAUUCCUGGUGUAGCGGAGGAAUGCGCAGAUAUCAGGAGGAACACCGGUGGCGAAGGCGGGUCUCUGGGCAGUAACUGACGCUGAGGAGCGAAAGCGUGGGGAGCGAACAGGAUUAGAUACCCUGGUAGUCCACGCCGUAAACGGUGGGUACUAGGUGUGGGUUCCUUCCUUGGGAUCCGUGCCGUAGCUAACGCAUUAAGUACCCCGCCUGGGGAGUACGGCCGCAAGGCUAAAACUCAAAGGAAUUGACGGGGGCCCGCACAAGCGGCGGAGCAUGUGGAUUAAUUCGAUGCAACGCGAAGAACCUUACCUGGGUUUGACAUGCACAGGACGCCGGCAGAGAUGUCGGUUCCCUUGUGGCCUGUGUGCAGGUGGUGCAUGGCUGUCGUCAGCUCGUGUCGUGAGAUGUUGGGUUAAGUCCCGCAACGAGCGCAACCCUUGUCCUAUGUUGCCAGCGGGUUAUGCCGGGGACUCGUAGGAGACUGCCGGGGUCAACUCGGAGGAAGGUGGGGAUGACGUCAAGUCAUCAUGCCCCUUAUGUCCAGGGCUUCACACAUGCUACAAUGGCCGGUACAAAGGGCUGCGAUGCCGUGAGGUGGAGCGAAUCCUUUCAAAGCCGGUCUCAGUUCGGAUCGGGGUCUGCAACUCGACCCCGUGAAGUCGGAGUCGCUAGUAAUCGCAGAUCAGCAACGCUGCGGUGAAUACGUUCCCGGGCCU
rnacentral:rRNA from 1 species